rnacentral:rRNA from 1 species
UACGAAGGGGCUAGCGUUGUUCGGAAUUAGCGUGGGCGUAAAGCGCACGUAGGCGGACUAUUAAGUCAGGGGUGAAAUCCCGGGGACUCAACCCCGGAACUGCCUUUGAUACUGGUAGUCUCGAGUCCGGAAGAGGUGAGUGGAAUUCCGAGUGUAGAGGUGAAAUUCGUAGAUAUUCGGAGGAACACCAGUGGCGAAGGCGGCUCACUGGUCCGGUACUGACGCUGAGGUGCGAAAGCGUGGGGAGCAAACAGG